rnacentral:rRNA from 1 species
AACGAACGCUGGCGGCAGGCUUAACACAUGCAAGUCGAGCGCCCCGCAAGGGGAGCGGCAGACGGGUGAGUAACGCGUGGGAAUCUACCCAUCUCUACGGAAUAACGCAUGGAAACGUGUGCUAAUACCGUAUACGUCCUUCGGGAGAAAGAUUUAUCGGAGAUGGAUGAGCCCGCGUUGGGUUAGCUAGUUGGUGGGGUAAAGGCCUACCAAGGGGACGAUCCAUAGCUGGUCUGAGAGGAUGAUCAGCCACACUGGGACUGAGACACGGCCCAGGCUCCUACGGGGGGCAGCAGUGGGGAAUAUGGGACAAUGGGCGCAAGCGUGAUCCAGCCAUGCCGCGUGAGUGAUGAAGGCCCUAGGGUUGUAAAGCUCUUUCACCGGUGAAGAUAAUGGCGGUAACCGGAGAAGAAGCCCCGGCUAACUUCGUGCCAGCCGCCGCGGUAAGAC